rnacentral:sRNA from 1 species
UUCCACAGGAGAAAUUCGCCCCGGAUCC